UGUGUGCAUGAGGUGUACUUGCUUGUGUGCGUGAAUGGUAGGUGUCUCUCUUUUAUUGAUGAAGGCUGUGGCUGAAAGCUCUAUAAUGACAAGAACCUACAAGAGAAAGCCAGGUUCCUGAAAGUACUCUGAUUAUAAUGCUGAGACCUUGGAAGCUCGUUUGAAGGGCAUACAAAGUGGAGUAAGAACACAACAAAGUGCAACUGACAUUACAAUGAUGUAAUGGACAUUCUCUUAAGCCAAGAUGUGAGAAGAGUUCACAUUCAUUGAAAGGAAAUUCUAUUAAGCUGAGAUGUCACAAGGGUUCACACUCAUGUAAAGGACAUUCUACCACGCUGACAUGUGAAAAGGACUGAUAUAUUACAUGUAAUGAGACGAGGUAAAUCAAGGACUUGGAAAAGAAAAAGGGAAGUGAAGAAAGGUUUGGUGUUUAUACCAUUUUUUUUAUAAAGUGAAAACUAUGUACAUGUUGUGCUCUGCUGUCAGAAACAAUGAUAAAUCAUACAUAUAUGCAAUGAGGCACGUAUGCCAAAUACAAAGAACAUUUUUUACA